AGGUAGCUUAACCUUCGGGAGGGCGCUUACCACUUUGUGAUUCAUGACUGGGGUGAAGUCGUAACAAGGUAACCGUAGGGGAACCUGCGGUUGGAUCACCUCCUUACCAAGCU
rnacentral:rRNA from 2 species